rnacentral:rRNA from 1 species
GACGAACGCUGGCGGCGUGCUUAACACAUGCAAGUCGAGCGGUAAGGCCCUUUCGGGGGUACACGAGCGGCGAACGGGUGAGUAACACGUGGGUGACCUGCCCUCAGCUCUGGGAUAAGCCUGGGAAACUGGGGUCUAAUACUGGAUAUGACUCCACGGUGCAUGUCGUGGGGUGGAAAGCCUUGUGCGGCUGAGGAUGGGCCCGCGGCCUAUCAGCUUGUUGGUGGGGUGANGGCCUACCAAGGCGACGACGGGUAGCCGGCCUGAGAGGGCGACCGGCCACACUGGGACUGAGACACGGCCCAGACUCCUACGGGAGGCAGCAGUGGGGAAUCUUGCGCAAUGGGCGAAAGCCUGACGCAGCGACGCCGCGUGAGGGAUGACGG